GAAAGAGAGGAGGGAAUGAGACCAUGGUAACAGUCAAGAGCCUACUGAAACAAUUCACACAGGCUUCACUGGACAACCCUGGUCAAUAUAGGAGGUGAAUAUACAAGGAUAUGAAUACCACCACUUCCCUGACAGAAAAAGCUAAGAAGUUUUCAAAUUCAAUAAGCAAGAUGGGAAGGAAGACAUCUCUUAACUAAACCUCUAUCAGGGAACUUCAGGUUUUUAGUGUAUGGGAGGUCUUUAGAGCCAUCAAUCUGCUAAAGCAACUGACAACUUGGAGUGUUUUGAUUGUACGUGUGAUGUCCUGGAUGUGGGGCUGAGCUCUCAGAAGAAUGUGGGAGGCUGGGAGGAGAGUGCUUUAGAGUUUGGCAAGUUAAGAAGAAGCAGAGGUAAAAACUUAUUUUUGCCACUUCUGGUAUUAAGAAACAAGGCCUUUCACUGCUUCUUCCUCUGUUUAUGCAAAAGCUCUCAUUAGCAUUUACAUGCAUUCUUUGUCUUCCAAGUGAAAAUGGCUUUGUUUGUGUCACUCAAAGACAUGUUGAAAGCAGGAGGAGGAGAAACUACUCAGAAGGUGCUAGGAGUGGAAUUGAGGUACAUAAGUCUCUCCUCAGGGUUUCUACCUCUCUGAACUCCCUCUUCUACACUCAAAACUCAGCUCCCACCCUGUUUUAUAGAGAUACCUAGUUUCAUGCGCGUCCCUGUGAAGAGACCACCAAACAGGCUUUGUGUGAGCAAUAGAAGAUUUUAAUCACCUGGGUGCAGGCGGGCUGAGUCUGAAAAGAGAGUCAGCAGAGGGAGAUGGGGUGGGGCCGUUUUAUAGGAUUUGGGUAGGUAAAGGAAAAAGGGGGGUUGUUCUCUGGCAGGCAGGAGUGGGCAACACAAGGUGCUCAGUAGGGGAGCUUUUGAGCCAGGAUGAGCCAGGAGAAGGAAUUUUACAAGAUAAUGCCAUCAGUUAAGGCAGGAACAGGCCAUUUUCAUUUCUUUUGGGGUGGAAUGUCAUCAGUUAAGGCAGGAACCAGCCAUCUGGAUGUGUACAUGCAGGUCACAGGGGACAUGAUGGCGUAGCUUGGGCUCAGAGGCCUGACACCUAGAGAGCAAGGAGUGUGUUCAGAAGAUAUGUUUGGGCAUUUUGAGUUAAAAAUCUGUAA
rnacentral:lncRNA from 1 species